UGGGGAAUCUUGGACAAUGGGCGCAAGCCUGAUCCAGCCAUGCCGCGUGAGUGAAGAAGGCCUUAGGGUUGUAAAGCUCUUUCGGCGGGGAAGAUGAUGACGGUACCCGCAGAAGAAGCCCCGGCUAACUCCGUGCCAGCAGCCGCGGUAAUACGGAGGGGGCUAGCGUUGUUCGGAAUUACUGGGCGUAAAGGGCGCGUAGGCGGACGAUCGUGUCAGGGGUGAAAGGCCCGGGCUCAACCUGGGAACGGCCUUUGAAACUGAUCGUCUGGAGUCCGGGAGAGGAGAGCGGAAUUCCCAGUGUAGAGGUGAAAUUCGUAGAUAUUGGGAAGAACACCGGUGGCGAAGGCGGCUCUCUGGACCGGCACUGACGCUGAGGCGCGAAAGCGUGGGGAGCAAACAGGAUUAGAUACCCCCGUAGUCC
rnacentral:rRNA from 1 species